AGGUGGUAGCACACUGCAUCUUCCUUAAGCAUGGACUAUCUUAUAUUUACUCAGUGAUCAUGAAGAACAGUUGUACGAACAUCAUACUUAAAAUCACAGAAAUUAAAUAUGAUUCAAAAGAAGAUAUCCAUUGAAAACAAUAAGUUCAUACAACCCCAAGAAUAUAAACAAAAUAUAAAACCCUUGGCCCUUCUUUAGGGCUGCAUCCAGCCCUAGUGAGGAGAUCAAGCUUCUAUGGAGUUGUGGGUGACAGCAGCAGUGGCACAGCAGCGGGACUUCAUAAUGAUUGGCUUUCCCUCCUUCCUCCCGUCAGCUUCCUCUCAGCACCUCGUCAUCUCUUCCUUUGGGAAGUCAUUCCCAAAGUACUCAAGAAACUCUUCCCCCUCCUCUGUUUCCGUGGGAUUUCAGCUUGUGAAGAGAUGU
rnacentral:lncRNA from 1 species